rnacentral:tRNA from 1 species
AUGAUAAUUAGUUUAAGCCAAAA